rnacentral:rRNA from 1 species
CCUACGGGUGGCUGCAGUGAGGAAUAUUGGUCAAUGGUCGUAAGACUGAACCAGCCAAGUCGCGUGCAGGAUGACGGCCCUAUGGGUUGUAAACUGCUUUUAUGCGGGGGUAAAAUGCGUCACGUGUGAUGUUUUGUAGGUACCGCAUGAAUAAGGAACGGCUAAUUCCGUGCCAGCAGCCGCGGUAAUACGGAAGGUGCGGGCGUUAUCCGGAUUUAUUGGGUUUAAAGGGAGGGUAGGCCGAGUGUUAAGCGUGCCGUGAAAUGCCCGGGCUCAAACAUGGAACUGCAGUUGAAACUGGUUGCCUUGAGUGCGCGAGACGUAAGCGGAAUUCGUGGUGUAGCGGUGAAAUGCGUAGAUAUUACGAAGAACACCGAUGGCGAAGGCAGCAUACUGGAGGACUACUGACGCUGAGGCGCGAAGGCGCGGGGAGCGAACAGGAUUAGAUACCCGAGUAGUC